AGCAGCCGCGGUAAUUCCAGCUCCAAUAGCGUAUAUUAAAGUUGUUGCAGUUAAAAAGCUCGUAGUUGAAUUUCGGGAUCAGUACGCUGGUCGUGCCUUCGGUAUGCACUGGUGUCACUGGUUCCUCCCUUCUGAAGAACUGUCAUGCCAUUCAGUUGGUGUGGCGGGGAAUCAGGACUGUUACUUUGAAAAAUUAGAGUGUUUAAAGCAGGCUCGCGCUUGAAUACAUUAGCAUGGAAUAAUGAAAUAGGACGUUUGAUCCUAUUUUGUUGGUUUUUAGGAUCGACGUAAUGAUUAAUAGGGAUAGUUGGGGGCAUUAGUAUUCAAUUGUCAGAGGUGAAAUUCUUGGAUUUAUUGAAGACUAACUACUGCGAAAGCAUUUGCCAAGGAUGUUUUCAUUAAUCAAGAACGAAAGUUAGGGGAUCGAAGACGAUCAGAUACCGUCGUAGU
rnacentral:rRNA from 1 species